AGAGGAGCUUGGAUAUUUUCGAGGUUGCUGAUGGGUUAACUGUUCUUGGAUGCUGUUGGUGCUGCAAAUGGAAGUCAUCUGCUGUAGAAGCUCGGACGAGAACUGCCUGUUGGAGAAGUCCGACAGGAGUCCGACUGCUGGAGAAGUUCGUCUGGAAUUUGUAUGACGUAGAAGCUUGUCUGAAGAAUUGUCUGCUGGAGAGGUCCGAUUGCACAAGGAA
rnacentral:lncRNA from 1 species